CAACCACAUCACGUUGAAACACCGGUUAUCCUAUGAUCACCGAAGAUAAGCGACGUUGAACCUGGCUACUACCUAGAUGGGUAACCGCUUGGGAUUACCAAGUGCUGUAAG